GCCGACAUGGCGGAAUGGCAGACGCAGCGGAUUCAAAAUCCGCCGCCCAUAAAGCGUGUGGGUUCGAGUCCCACUGUCGGUA
rfam:Epulopiscium sp. SCG-C07WGA-EpuloA2 SCGC07WGA_7, whole genome shotgun sequence.